rnacentral:rRNA from 1 species
AGAGUUUUAUCCUGGCUCAGGACGAACGCUGGCGGCGUGCUUAACACAUGCAAGUCUAGGUAGAAAUUUCGACUUGUCGAGAGAGUAAACUGGCGAACGGGUGAGUAACGCGUAGGUAAUUUGCCUUUAAGUGGGGGACAGGCACGGGAAACUGUGAUUAAUACCGCAUAUUGUUGAUUUACACAAGUAGAUUAAUGAAAGUUGGGGACCUUCGGGCCCAACGCUUAAAGAUGAGCCUGCGUCUGAUUAGUUAGUUGGUGGGGUAAUGGCCUACCAAGACAUCGAUCAGUAGCUGUUCUAAGAGGAAGAUCAGCCACAUUGGGACUGAGAUACGGCCCAGACUCCUACGGGAGGCAGCAGUGAGGAAUUUUGCGCAAUGGGGGCAACCUUGACGCAGCAACGCCGCGUGACCGAUUGAAGCUUCUAGGAGUUUAAAGGUCUGUCGUGAAGGAAGAAAAAGUCCGAGAAUAAUAAGUUCGGUAAUUGACGGUACUUCACAAGCAAGCUCCGGCUAACUUCGUGCCAGCAGCCGCGGUAAUACGAGGGGAGCAAGCGUUGUCCGAAAUAACUGGGCGUAAAGGGUACGUAGGCUUUUGUGUGUGUUUUCGGUGAAAGUCAUAGGCUCAACUUAUGAAUUGCCGGAAAAACUGCAUAGAUUGAAUCCGGAAGGGGAAAGCGGAAUUCCUGGUGUAGCGGUGAAAUGCGUAGAUAUCAGGAGGAACACCAGUGGCGAAGGCGGCUUUCUGGUCCGGAAUUGACGCUGAGGUACUAAAGCGUGGGUAGCAAACAGGAUUAGAUACCCUGGUAGUCCACGCCCUAAACGAUGUAUACUUGAUGUCGGGAUGUUCGGUCGUCUCGGUGUCGUAGCUAACGUGUUAAGUAUACCGCCUGGGGACUACGGUCGCAAGACUGAAACUCAAAGGAAUUGACGGGGGCCCGCACAGCGGUGGAACAUGUGGUUUAAUUCGAUGCAACGCGAAGAACCUUACCUGGGCUUGACAUACAUAUGAAGUAUGUAAGAAAUUAUGUAUUUUUGCUGCUUGCAGUAAACAUAUGUACAGGUGAUGCAUGGCUGUCGUCAGCUCGUGUCGUGAGAUGUAGGGUUAAGUCCCUUAACGAGCGCAACCCUUGCUUUUAGUUGCCAUCAGGUAAUGCCGGGGACUCUAGAAGGACUGCCGAGGUUAACUCGGAGGAAGGUGGGGAUGACGUCAAGUCAGUAUGUCCCUUAUGUCCAGGGCUACACACGUGUUACAAUGGCCGGUACAGAGUGCAGCAAGACCGCGAGGUGGAGCAAAUCACUUAAAGCCGGUCCCAGUUCGGAUAGGAGUCUGCAAUUCGACUCCUUGAAGUUGGAAUCGCUAGUAAUCGCAGAACAGCACGCUGCGGUGAAUACGUUCCCGGGCCUUGUACACACCGCCCGUCACGCCAUGGAAGUUGGGGGUACCCGAAGUUGCUGUCUAUUCGGUGGAGGUAACUAAGGUAAAACCGAUGACUGGGGCGAAGUCGUAACAAGGUA